rnacentral:rRNA from 1 species
GAUGAACGCUAGCUACAGGCUUAACACAUGCAAGUCGCGGGGCAGCAUGUCGGUUGCUUGCAACCGAUGAUGGCGACCGGCGCACGGGUGAGUAACGCGUAUCCAACCUGCCCUUCACCACGGAAUAAUCCAGUGAAGAUUGGUCUAAUACCGUAUGAGGUCAUACGAUGGCAUCAGAAUAUGACGAAAGGUUUGGCGGUGAAGGAUGGGGAUGCGUCUGAUUAGCUUGUUGGUGAGGUAACGGCUCACCAAGGCGACGAUCAGUAGGGGUUCUGAGAGGAAGGUCCCCCACAUUGGAACUGAGACACGGUCCAAACUCCUACGGGAGGCAGCAGUGAGGAAUAUUGGUCAAUGGGCGAGAGCCUGAGCCAGCCAAGUAGCGUGCAGGAAGACGGCCCUAUGGGUUGUAAACUGCUUUUAUAUGGGGAUAAAGUGAGCUACGUGUAGUUUAUUGCAGGUACCAUAUGAAUAAGGACCGGCUAAUUCCGUGCCAGCCGCCGCCGUAA